rnacentral:rRNA from 1 species
GAUGAACGCUGGCGGCGUGCCUAAUACAUGCAAGUCGAGCGAACAGACGAGGAGCUUGCUCCUCUGACGUUAGCGGCGGACGGGUGAGUAACACGUGGAUAACCUACCUAUAAGACUGGGAUAACUUCGGGAAACCGGAGCUAAUACCGGAUAAUAUAUUGAACCGCAUGGUUCAAUAGUGAAAGACGGUUUUGCUGUCACUUAUAGAUGGAUCCGCGCCGCAUUAGCGAGUUGGUAAGGUAACGGCUUACCAAGGCAACGAUGCGUAGCCGACCUGAGAGGGUGAUCGGCCACACUGGAACUGAGACACGGUCCAGACUCCUACGGGAGGCAGAAGUAGGGAAUCUUCCGCAAUGGGCGAAAUCCUGACGGAGCAACGCCGCGUGAGUGAUGAAGGUCUUCGGAUCGUAAAACUCUGUUAUUAGGGAAGAACAAAUGUGUAAGUAACUAUGCACGUCUUGACGGUACCUAAUCAGAAAGCCACGGCUAACUACGUG